AUUGAACGCUGGCGGCAGGCUUAACACAUGCAAGUCGAGCGAGCGGCGGACGGGUGAGUAAUGUCUGGGAAACUGCCUGAUGGAGGGGGAUAACUACUGGAAACGGUAGCUAAUACCGCAUACCAUCAGAUGUGCCCAGAUGGGCUUAGCUAGUAGGUGGGUUAAUGGCUCACCUAGGCGACGAUCCCUAGCUUGUCUGAGAGGAUGACCAGCCACACUGGAACUGAGCCACGGUCCAGCCUCCUACGGGAGGAAGCAGUGGGGAAUGUUGCAAAAUGGGCGCAAGCCUGAUGCAUCCAUGCCGCGUGUGUGAAGAAGGCCUUCGGGUUGUAAAGCACUUUCAGCGGGGAGGCGGAAAGCGGAGAAGAAGCACCGGCUAACUACGUGCCAGCAGCCGCGGUAAUAG
rnacentral:rRNA from 1 species